UCUUAAACGGUUAGGUAUUCUGCUCAAUUAUUUUGGUAGGGAUUUUUUUUUCAUUUAGAGAGGUGUGGAAAUUCCGUCCGAUGUUAGUUAAAAAAUGGAAAGAUUAAUCAUUUACCAAGUGUGCAGGGUUUCCCCCAGUGUAUUAUAGUUCGCCAGCCUUUCCUAAAAAGUAAACUUAAAUAUUUGUGAAAUAAUUGCACAGGUUAUGGUAGGUAAGGUCUGAAGGUGAAGGGAUAUCUGGCAUUUGGUAGUCUUGUAUCAUCAGAAACAAUCUAGCAGGGAAAUUCUAAGGAUCCUGGACCACAACAAGAGAACUUUUCGCAACAUAGCACUGUAUUAAUUCCCCAUCUGAAUGUCAAACAUAUGUAGGCAAUGUUUGGUUGGGAGAUUCGCAAAUAAUUUUGAAUAACAUCGGUCUAGUAAAUGUCUCGCUAUAUUAUUGCGAUGCACGUAGGUGAUUUUAUGCCAUGGCGCAAACAGACAGCAGUCAUGUGAUUGCACAUUAUCUGACACAACGUCACAUAAUCGCUCACUGGUUUCAUACUUUACAAACGUAAGCCAAGAACCAAAAAUGCCACACAAAAAAACACUGUUUAGGCGGCUUUGGACAUGAUCCUGAACCAAGUCGAGUCUUGCAACUCGGGUGGAGAAGACAGACCUUCAGAUGAGUUCAGACUUUGACAUUUCUUCUGGUGAAGAGACCUCACCACCACUUGAAAAGAGAGGUCAAUUGGUGACACACAUCAGGCCAACAGAGGGGGAAGAUGGCAGUGUGGGCCCGGAAGAAGAGAUCGGGAAGCCUCUCCUUCAAAGUAAAUAAAAUUGUACGCCACAGAAGAUGGAGAGCAAACAGCUUUAGUCAGAAGACCUACAGAGCUUCCGCUGCUUCAUCACCCUUCGCUCCACACUGGAGGACAGUUGGUUCAGGAUUCAUGACAUAGCAGCGUUAAAUGCCCAUGUGCUCCAUAAGGCAUGCACAGGGGUGCAGGAGAAACGGGUGGACUUCCUAGUGGGAAAAGGGCGUUUCGCCUGGUGAACCUUUGGUGCAGCAAUUCACGCCACCAUGCGCUAUGUUGAUUGUUACAAGCAUACAUGUGGUAAAUGUAGGGAGGAGCUGGUAAAAUGCCAAGCAUGCUCAGAUGAUGUAGUGUUGAAGGACAGGUCCAACCCAUGACCAAUGACAUGUCACCAUCUUUGUGAUAUAUACAUUAAAGAUAACUGUAUUUGAACACCCUGCUCUUUUGCAAGUUCUCCCACUUUGAAAUCAAGGAGGGGUCUGAAAUUGUCAUCGUAGGUGCAACUCCACUGUAAGAGACAUAAUCUAAAAGAAAACAUCCAGAAAUCAAAAUGUAUGAUUUGUCAACUAUUUAUAUGAUACAGCUGAAAAUAACUAUUAGAACACAUGAGAAAAUCAAUGUUAAUAUUUGGUACAGUAGCCUUUAUUAUUAAUGACUGAAGUCGAACGUAUCCUGUAGUUUUUCACCAGGUUUGCACACAGUGCCGGAGGGAUUUUGGCCCACUCCUCCACACAGAUCUUCUCUGGAUCAGUCAGGUUUCUGGGCUUUUGCUGAUAAACACAGUUUGAGCUCCAUCCAAAGACUCUAUUGGGUUUAGACUGGCUAGGCCACACCAGAACCUUGAUAUGCUUCUUACAGAGCCACUUGUUGGUUAUCCUGGUUGUGUGCUUUGGGUCAUUGUCAUGUUGGGAGACCCAGCCUCGACCCAUAUUCAAUGCUCUGAGGGAAGGAGGUCGUUUCCCAAAAUCUUUCAAUACAUGGCCCCGGUCAUCCUCUCCAUAAUACAAUGCAGUAAACAUGUCCCAUAUGUAGAAAAAUGCCCCUAAAGCACUAACACCCCCAUGCUUCAUAGUAGGGAUUGUGUUCUUGGGAUGGUACUCAUCAUUCUUCUUCCUCCAACCAAAAAGUUCUAUUUUGGUCUCAUCUGACCAGAUGACUUUCUCUCAUGAUUUCUCUGAAUCAUCCAAAAGGUCAUUGGCAAACUUAAGACAGGCAUUGACGUGUGCUGGUUUAAGCUUGAAAACCUUCAGUGCCACGCAUGAUUUCAAACCAUGAUGUCUUAGUGUAUCACCAACAGUAACCUUGGAAACCGUGGUCCAAGCUCUUUACACAUCAUUGACCAGCUUCUCUUGUGUAGUUCUGUGCUGAUUUCUCACCUUUCUUAGCAUCAAUGAGACUCCACGAGGUGAGAUCUUGCAUGGAGCCCCAAUCCAAGGGAGAUUGACUAAUAUUUAGCUUCUUCCAUUUUCUAAUGAUUGGUCAAACAGUGGACCUUUAUUCACCAAGCUACUUGGCAAUUUCCCCAUAGCCCCUUCCAGCCUUGUUGAGGUGUACAAUUUUGUCUCUAGUGUCUUUGGACAGCUCUUUGGUCUUGACCAUGUUAGUAGUUUGAUUCUCACUGAUUGAAUGGGGUGAACAGGUGUCUUUUUUCAGCAAACGACCUCAAACAGGUGCAUCUAAUUAAGGAUAAUAAAUGUAGUGGAGGUGGAAAUUGGGAAGGCAGACUAAUAGGUCUUUGAGGGUCAGAAUUGUAGCUGAUAGGCAAGUGUUCAAAUACUUAUUUGCAGCUGUAUCAUAAAAAUAGAU